rnacentral:lncRNA from 1 species
AAUAAGUUCUUGUUUCUUGUGAGCAACUCUUAUUAAAACAUUGGAUAGAAGGUGAGAUUGUAACUUGCUAAAGAUUAAAAUUCCAUAAAUAUUUCAUCAAGUGUGAAUCUCAACCCUCUUAGCUAUACAGAUCUAAUGGUGGGCCAAAACCAUAAUGGAAGGACAAGUCCUAGCUUCAGCAACCUGUCUGGCAAGCCCCUUCCACCCAUCCCCUCUCUUCUGUUUUGUAGAUGCUUCUCAUCAUGACUGCCCUGCAGCCUGCCAUUUUCUCCAUAUUGGCCAAUGGUGGACAGAUUGCUUGUUCACCUCCAUUUUCCUCUAAAACCAGGUCUCAAGGUAAGCAUAUAAGGGCUCCUAUCCCAUUGUGAUAUGGAUGAGAUAGGAGAAGGUUAGGAAAGAGAAGAUCUUGGACAAGAGGUUAGGCCAGCCUGACUUCUCAGAAAAGAAGUCUCCAAUAAAUCUGGGCAGAGGCUUUGACUAACCUCAUUAAUCACACAGAGAACUGCAGUUCCACAGCUUGAGGCCAGCCCUGAUGGCUAACCCAGGAAGUCAUGGGUUUAACUCCUAACUCCUGGGAGAGGAAUGAGAGUGAGUUGAAUGUCUGUCUUCCUGAUUUUUAUGUUAGUAUUCGGAUUAGAUCACAGAAGGUAGAGAGCCAAGUUUGAUUCUAGUUCUACCAUUAAUCUACUUUGUUGCUUAUGACAGUAUCUCUAUGUCCUGGUGUGGGGAUAAAUGGGAGAAACUUCCUUAACUCAGACACCAGACUGUGAGUGGGAUAUCUACCACCUUUAAAACUUAGCAUAACCAAUGUUAUAUUUCAUCUCACACUGCAGUGAUGAAUUGCCACCUCCUUAUACUGGAGACUUUCCUGAUGACUGUGUUGACGCGAAUGUACUACCGAAGAAAAGACCACAAGGUUGGGUAUGAAACUUUCUCGUCUCCAGACCAGGACUUGAACCUCAAAGCCUGAGGAGAAUGGCUUGGACAAUGAUGGGGAGAGAUGCUGUACGCAUUUGGAGAACAUGAGAUUUCUUCGCUGUCCCUCACCUUCACCAAAUGGGAAAGAAUCUCAUUGUCAGCACAAGCUAAUGGAUUACAUUUGACUAUAGAGAUGAAGGCAAAUUAUGCAGUAGAAUGAAACUGUUUUGGAUAUUGCCCAGGGAAGGUAUUUUAAGUUUUGUAAUAAACAGGAUACAAUCUGAAACUCUGUAACUACUAGGCACACAGCCUCUGUGGAUGCCACUAAUUACUAACCCUGAAAAUUG